UGGGGAAUAUUGCACAAUGGGCGCAAGCCUGAUGCAGCCAUGCCGCGUGUAUGAAGAAGGCCUUCGGGUUGUAAAGUACUUUCAGUCGGGAGGAAGGUGUCAAGGUUAAUAACCUUGGCAAUUGACGUUACCGACAGAAGAAGCACCGGCUAACUCCGUGCCAGCAGCCGCGGUAAUACGGAGGGUGCAAGCGUUAAUCGGAAUUACUGGGCGUAAAGCGCACGCAGGCGGUUGAUUGAGUCAGAUGUGAAAUCCCCGGGCUUAACCCGGGAAUUGCAUCUGAGACUGGCAAGCUUGAGUCUCGUAGAGGGGGGUAGAAUUCCAGGUGUAGCGGUGAAAUGCGUAGAGAUCUGGAGGAAUACCGGUGGCGAAGGCGGCCCCCUGGACAAAGACUGACGCUCAGGUGCGAAAGCGUGGGGAGCAAACAGG
rnacentral:rRNA from 1 species